rnacentral:rRNA from 1 species
CCUACGGGAGGCAGCAGUGGGGAAUUUUGGACAAUGGGCGCAAGCCUGAUCCAGCCAUGCCGCGUGAGUGAAGAAGGCCUUCGGGUUGUAAAGCUCUUUCGGCCGGGAAGAAAUCGCAUUGGUUAAUACCUGGUGUGGAUGACGGUACCGGAAUAAGAAGCACCGGCUAACUACGUGCCAGCAGCCGCGGUAAUACGUAGGGUGCGAGCGUUAAUCGGAAUUACUGGGCGUAAAGCGUGCGCAGGCGGUUUUGUAAGACAGGCGUGAAAUCCCCGGGCUCAACCUGGGAACUGCGCUUGUGACUGCAAGGCUAGAGUACGGCAGAGGGGGGUGGAAUUCCACGUGUAGCAGUGAAACGCGUAGAGAUGUGGAGGAACACCAAUGGCGAAGGCAGCCCCCUGGGUCGAUACUGACGCUCAUGCACGAAAGCGUGGGUAGCAAACAGGAUUAGAUACCCUGGUAGUCCACGCCCUAAACGAUGUCAACUAGGUGUUGGGAGGGUAAAACCUUUUAGUACCGGAGCUAACGCGUGAAGUUGACCGCCUGGGGAGUACGGCCGCAAGGUUAAAACUCAAAGGAAUUGACGGGGACCCGCACAAGCGGUGGAUGAUGUGGAUUAAUUCGAUGCAACGCGAAAAACCUUACCUACCCUUGACAUGUCAGGAAGUCUUGAGAGAUUGAGAUGUGCCCGAAAGGGAACCUGAACACAGGUGCUGCAUGGCUGUCGUCAGCUCGUGUCGUGAGAUGUUGGGUUAAGUCCCGCAACGAGCGCAACCCUUGUCGUUAAUUGCCAUCAUUUAGUUGGGCACUUUAGCGAGACUGCCGGUGACAAACCGGAGGAAGGUGGGGAUGACGUCAAGUCCUCAUGGCCCUUAUGGGUAGGGCUUCACACGUCAUACAAUGGUCGGUACAAAGGGUCGCCAACCCGCGAGGGGGAGCCAAUCCCAGAAAGCCGAUCGUAGUCCGGAUUGCAGGCUGCAACUCGCCUGCAUGAAGUCGGAAUCGCUAGUAAUCGUGGAUCAGCAUGUCACGG